CCUGGUGCAGAAUAGCAGGCAAGAAAUGCAUAGAUAUAGACCUUGAGAAUAAACAUACUAGCUUGUGGCGUGAUGAAAUGACCUGUGGACUUAGAGAUUAGUUGUCAAAAGUUUGUCUAUCUCACAACUUGGAGCAGAUCUUUGUGCUAAAUAAGUUACUUGAAGUGAAUGUAUGGUUGAACUUGUGCCUUCUUCAUGCUUCUGGCGUUAACUAAAGUAUAUGAACUUGAGCUAUGUAGGGUUCUUAGAAAGGAUUCUAGAACUCAGAACCAAGUUAAGAUUUUAUCUCACUAUAGGAGCAUCAAUUGGUCGUGAUCUGGUGCAUGUAUGGAGGUGUUUAGUGUUAUAUUUGUUUUCAAAGGUGCAGAAAUAUGGACAGCCUAUAAUCUGAUGUGUUUUUAAUCUAUAGGAGGGUUAAUCUUAUAGUUAAACAAUAAAGUAUUACUAUUAAAAUUACAUCUCUCUCAUUUGUUCACAUUUCUUGUUAGCAGAUGCAUAGCGAGUGUCUGGGCAAUGACAAGAGACUACUAAUUCAGCAAGGGAUGAAAGGCAAUCCAAAAUAUGAAGACUUAUUGGUGGCAAAGAAGCUUGAGAAUCUUGUGUGGUGAUGGAUUCGAAUGCUUUGUAUAGAUGGGUAGUGAUAGGACUCUUAGUUUUUCUCUUACCUGUGUACCCUCCUGUUAAUUGCUCGUCUUUGAUAAUUAAUGUUGAUGCAACAAUGCCUGUGGAUAUGGUGUGCAGUGUUGAAUUUCUUUGUUACUUGUUAUAAGCCUUUUCACAGCAUGUUCCUGAUAUCGUAGGAAUACCAAAUUUUUAGUACUUUAAAACUGCACAUAUUUGUUACUGGAUUUGUAUCUAAGCUUU